CCUGCGGGUAAAAGGACCCGGCGGCUCGUCGCACCAUCACGCAGAACCAUUCGCAUCAGAUCGCUAGGGUUUAAGCGCCUCGCCGCCUCCAGAGCUCGCACCCCUAGCCGCCGGCCGGAUUCGGAGAAGAGAAGCGAAUCAAGAUGUUCCUCGGCUCGAUCCCGCGGCGCCCGAGCAAGGAGGCGGCGUACAAGCAGCUGCGGUCGCACCUCGCCGUCAUGGCCGCCUGCGUCGCCGUCAUCCGCGCCACCCCCUACAUCCUCCACUUCCUCACCCGCGAAGGCGACGUCCAGGAGCUCAAGCUCGAGCUCUAGAGCCUCCCGUCCCCAUGCCGCCCCCGCCCCCCCGCCCCCACAAGGUGCUACUGGAAUGGGCCGAUCGUCUCGGCAAAGUUACGUCCAGUGUUGAGCUUCCUAUGUACCAGUCAAAACAUGGAUCCAGUGACCACAGAGUGCUUGCUUAAACUCUUUCUAUAUUAUUCUUCAAAAGUCGGCGACGGUACACGUAGCUACCUGUUAGCUUUGGUGUUUCCUGAGACCGGUAUUCUGUUUUGCGUGGCUGUAUGAUGAUGAUGUAGUCACAUUUCAUCGGGAGUUUCCGGAGGAGCUCGUGACCCACCGUGCUGUGCCCCCUACCUGUUGCCAUCA